rnacentral:rRNA from 1 species
UGACACGUGAGAUUGCUUAGAGGGGAUAACAAUUGGAACGAAUGCUAAUACCCAUAUGCUUUCGAGUGAAAUGGAUUUAUAUUUAUCCGCCUAGAGAGAAGCUCGCGGNUGAUUAGCUUGUUGGUAAGGUAAGAGCUUACCAAGGCGACGAUCAGUAUCUGGUUUGAGAGGACGAUCAGACACACUGGAACUGAGACACGGUCCAGACUCCUACGGGAGGCAGCAGUGGGGAAUUUUCCGCAAUGGGCGAAAGCNUGACGGAGCAAUACCGCGUGAGGGAAGACUGCCUAUGGGUUGUAAACCUCUUUUUUCAGGGAGGAAUCAAUGACGUGUACCUGAAGAAUAA